rnacentral:rRNA from 1 species
CCUACGGGUGGCAGCAGUGGGGAAUAUUGGACAAUGGGGGGAACCCUGAUCCAGCCAUGCCGCGUGUGUGAAGAAGGCCCUCGGGUUGUAAAGCACUUUCAGUGAGGAAGAACGCCUGGUGGUUAAUACCCAUCAGGAAAGACAUCACUCACAGAAGAAGCACCGGCUAACUCCGUGCCAGCAGCCGCGGUAAUACGGAGGGUGCGAGCGUUAAUCGGAAUUACUGGGCGUAAAGCGCGCGUAGGUGGCUUGAUAAGCCGGUUGUGAAAGCCCUGGGCUCAACCUGGGAACGGCAUCCGGAACUGUCAAGCUAGAGUGCAGGAGAGGAAGGUAGAAUUCCCGGUGUAGCGGUGAAAUGCGUAGAGAUCGGGAGGAAUACCAGUGGCGAAGGCGGCCUUCUGGACUGACACUGACACUGAGGUGCGAAAGCGUGGGUAGCAAACAGGAUUAGAUACCCUGGUAGUC